rnacentral:rRNA from 1 species
ACACGACUCUUGGCAACGGAUAUCUAGGCUCUUGCAUCGAUGAAGAACGUAGCGAAAUGCGAUACUUGGUGUGAAUUGCAGAAUCCCGUGAAUCAUCGAGUCUUUGAACGCAAGUUGCGCCCGAGGCCUUAUGGCCGAGGGCACGUCUGCCUGGGCGUCAUAA